AGUGAACGCUGGCGGCAGGCCUAACACAUGCAGGUCGAACGGCAGCACAGUAAGAGCUUGCUCUUACGGGUGGCGAGUGGCGGACGGGUGAGGAAUACAUCGGAAUCUACUUUUUCGUGGGGGAUAACGUAGGGAAACAUACGCUAAUACCGCAUAUGACCUACGGGUGAAAGCAGUGGAUCUUCGGACCUUGUGCGAUUGAAUGAGCCGAUGUCGGAUUAGCUAGUUGGCGGGGUAAAGGCCCACCAAGGCGACGAUCCGUAGCUGAUCUGAGAGGAUGAUCGGCCACACUGGAACUGAGACACGGUCCAGACUCCUACGGGAGGCAGCAGUGGGGAAUAUUGGGCAAUGGGCGCAAGCCUGAUCCAGCCAUGCCGCGUGGGUGAAGAAGGCCUUCGGGUUGUAAAGCCCUUUUGUUGGGAAAGAAAAGCAGCAGGUUAAUACCCCGCUGUUCUGACGGUACCCAAAGAAUAAGCACCGGCUAACUUCGUG
rnacentral:rRNA from 1 species